rnacentral:rRNA from 1 species
UACGGGGUGGGCAAGCGUUGUUCGGAAUUACUGGGCGUAAAGGGCUCGUAGGUGGUCAACUAAGUCGGACGUGAAAUCCCUCGGCUUAACCGGGGAACUGCGUCCGAUACUGGAUGACUUGAGUUCGGGAGAGGGAUGCGGAAUUCCAGGUGUAGCGGUGAAAUGCGUAGACAUCAGGAGGAACACCGGUGGCGAAGGCGGGUCUCUGGGCCGAUACUGACGCUGAGGAGCGAAAGCGUGGGGAGCAAACAGG